AAUAAGCAAAAUAAGGGCGCACGGGGGAUGCCUGUGGCUCUCAGAGGCGAAGAAGGACGUGAUAAGCUGCGAUAAGCUUCGGGGACUGGCACACACAGAUUGAUCCGAAGAUUUCCGAAUGGGGCAACCCGGUAUGUUGAAGACAUAUCACACCGAUAGGUGAGCAAACCCGCUGAACUGAAACAUCUAAGUAGGCGGAGGAAGAGAAAACAAAAGUGAUUCCGUAAGUAGUGGCGAGCGAAAGCGGAUUAGCCCAAACCAGAG
rnacentral:ncRNA from 1 species